UGCUAGUCGAGCGGUAACAUUUCUAGCUUGCUAGAAGAUGACGAGCGGCGGACGGGUGAGUAAUGCUUGGGAACAUGCCUUGAAGGUGGGGGCACAACCAUUGGAAACGAUGGCUAAUACCGCAUAAUGUCUACGGACCAAAGGGGGCUUCAGCUCUCGCCUUUAAAUUGGCCCAAGUGGGAUUACCUUGUUGGUGAGGUAAAGGCUCACUCAUGGCGACUAUCCCUAGUCUGGUUUGAGAGGAUGAUCAGCCACACGGGCAACUGAGACACGGUCCCGACUCCUACUUCAGGCAGCUUUGGGAAUAUUGCUCCAUGGAGCUCCCGCACUGAUGCAGCCAUGCCGCGUGUGUGAAGAAUGCCUUCGGUUUGUAAUUACUUUCACUCUGAGGAAAGGUUAUUACUUCAUACCUGCUACCUGUGACUUUAUGUCCCAAAAGCCACCGGCUAUCUCCGGGCCAUUCUCCGCGUGUAAUAC
rnacentral:rRNA from 1 species